rnacentral:tRNA from 1 species
AAGGAUUUAAGUUAUUUAAACUCUUAACCUUCAAAGUUAAAAAUAGAAAAAUUUUCUAAGCCUUA